AUUUUAUCAAACACUUAAAAUACAUUAACUAUAAUCAACCAACAACAAUAAGCAAAAGCUAUCAAUUAUCUAUUAUUUAUUAUCAAUCAUCAAUUAUAUUCAACAAUUAAAUUAAAUAAACUCUUGGUGCUAAGAAAAAUACUUUUCAUCUAAGCCAAUUAUUUCACACCAUCAUUCCUCAUCAUUAUACAAAAGUUUAUGACAACCAAUUGUCCAUAUGCCCAUUUUUUUUUUUUUUUAUAUAAAAAAAAAAUUUUUUU
rnacentral:misc_RNA from 1 species